AACGGCCGCGGUAUUUUGACCGUGCAAAGGUAGCAUAAUCAUUAGUCUUUUAAUAGGGGGCUGGAAUGAAAGGUUUAACGAAUCAUUAGCUGUCUCAUUUUUAUAAUUUAAAAUUUAAUUUUUAAGUUAAAAAGCUUAAAUGUUGUUGGAGGACGAGAAGACCCUAUAGAGCUUUAUAUUAAUUUUUUUAAUAAAAUGUUGAUUUAUAUCUUAGGUAUUAAAAUAACUUAUUAUUUUGUUGGGGUGACAAAAAUAAAUAAUUAACUGUUUUAUUGUUUAAACAUAGAUUUAUGAGUUUUUGAUCCAUUAUUAUUGAUUAUUAGAUUAAGUUACCUUAGGGAUAACAGCGUAAUCUUUUUUUGGAGUUCAAAUUUACAAAAAGGCUUGCGACCUCGAUGUUGGAUUAAGAUUAUAAUCUGGUGCAGUAGCUAGAUUAAUAGGUCUGUUCGAC
rnacentral:rRNA from 3 species